GAGAUGAUGAUGCCGACCCUUGAUACAUAUUGUAGAUUGUGUCACUUGACAGCUAGGAGUGAUGUCUACAGCUUCGGGGUUGUCCUUCUUGAGCUCUUAACAGGACGCCGGUCUAUGGACAAGACUCGCCCGAGCAAGGAGCAGAGCUUGGUUGACUGGGCUCGCCCCAAGCUUAAUGACAAUACUGUAGAGAUGAUGAUGCCGACCCUUGAUACAUAUUGUAGAUUGUGUACUUAGGAAUUUGACUUGUAUGUUUUUAGAAUGUUUUUGAAGUACAAUGUAAUCAAAUAUGAUAAUAUGAAUGUAAUCAAAGUUCUUGUUUGUGACUCGUAUUUUGUUAUAUAUGUGAUUCAGUGUAUUUGUUUCUA